rnacentral:rRNA from 1 species
GAAGUUGGAAUUGCUAGUAAUCGCGGAUCAGCAUGCCGCGGUGAAUACGUUCCCGGGCCUUGUACACACCGCCCGUCACACCAUGAGAGUCGGGAACACCCGAAGUCCGUAGUCUAACCGCAAGGAGGGCGCGGCCGAAGGUGGGUUCGAUAAUUGGGGUGAAGUCGUAACAAGGUAAC